GAGGAUUCUGAUGAAAUUCUUUCCAUUGACCUCAAUGCAAAAAAGUCAACAGUGAAUGUACAGAACUACUUGCAAGAAUACAAUGAGCAUAAUGAAGGUUGCAUGUCUAAGGCACUUGUGGCCUUGAAUCCACGGUCUGCUUCUAUCCCUACGCCAAAACUGAAGAAUGUGAGUCGGCUAAGAACUGAACACCAAGUGUAAGUAUUCUGCCAUUGCUUGUAAUAGCAUAAAUCUUGCCAGAAAAACACAUUUAAUUAAAUAGUUAAAAUAGUUUGUUUUUUUUUUAGAAAACUAUUUAAGUGACAAGCCUAGAAAAAUCAAUUUGUAGUAUAAUUAGAAAUCGAAAUGAUGCUUUCUAAAUUCUAACACCUCCCUGAUUAUUUUUUUUUGGAUCAGCUAACACCUCCCUGAUUAAUGCAGAUAUGAACUUCCAGAUUCACAUCCUCUCUUGGAAAAGGUCAGUUAUUCUUUUAUUUGUAAUGAAACAUUCAGUUAUCAGCUUGCAGAAUUUUCCUUAUGUUGUUUUCUUAACUAAAAUUUACAGAUGGAUAAACGGGAACCUGAUGAUCCAAGCCCGUAUCUUCUUGCAAUAUGGACACCAGGUUAGCAAAAUACACUUGAAAUAAUAUUAAUUACUGGACAUAUGUCAGCAAUUGUCUCCAAAAACUACCUUUUUACUAAUAUCAAUGCACAACAGGCAGAUUGGAAAAUAAAAGUGAAGCACAUGCAAGAUUAUUAUUAUUUCUAUGAUAGGUUAAAGUCAAAUAACCUCACAAUCAAUCACUCAUAUCUAUAUUUUUGACAUUGAACAUUAGGUGAGACUCCAAAUUCUGUUGAACCACCAGAAAGAAGGUGUGGAUCCCAAGACUCAGCCCUGUGCAAUGACAACACAUGUUUUUCAUGCAACAGCAUUAGGGAAGCCAAUUCACAAACAGUUAGAGGAACACUUCUGGUAAAGAUUUAUUUUUGGAUACAGAAAGAUGAAAGACCCUAGAUUAUGUUGAGUUUCAUUUUUCUUUAACAACUUAUACAAAGAUUACCCUGUAUACAGAUACCUUGUAGGACAGCAACUAGAGGAAGCUUUCCACUGAAUGGAACUUACUUUCAAGUUAAUGAGGUAUGUGUAAUCAAAGCUUAGAUAACAUUCAAUAAACUUAGCAACUCUACCCUGAUUUUGAAUUUCACUAAUCACCGCCAAAUUUCAUAAACCUUUUUAACAUCAUGAAGCUAUUUGCGGAUCAUGCAUCCAGCGUUCAACCUAUUGAUAUUCCUAGGGAAUGGAUAUGGAAUUUGCCAAGGAGGACAGUAUACUUUGGGACCUCCGUAUCAUCUAUUUUUAAAGGUAGAAAAACUCUACAUGCUCAUACAUUUCUAUUCUAGACCAGUUUAUCACAUAAGGUAUAAUUGUACUCACCAAAAAUACUCAUGUCUACCAGACCUUUCAACCCAAGAAAUUCAGCAUUGCUUUUGGAGAGGUAAGAAGACCACCCUAAAAUGUUUGUUUAUUUCUUCUUUUGCAUUGCUAGACAUUUUCAUAACAAAGGAAAGAAUAAAACCUUUCACUAGUUGCCUCAAUAAAUUUGGUAAACUAAAAUCUAAAUUUACCAAACCUAACUUAUCAAGAAUUGCAAAUGAGUAUCAGUUCAGUGGUUAUAUCUUUACACAAGAAGAAAAAACAAGCAGUAGAUUUGCAAUGGGUAUGCUAAAAAAAUAAUACACCAGUUAUCUCUUUCAAUUGAACAGCAAUUCAGUAUCAGAAGCCAAUUCACCAGGGACCAAAAUAAAAAAGACCAGACUAGGGUAACUCUAGGUUUAGCAAAAUUUCCAUAACUGUUAAAAUGUCAACAAUUAACAAAAAUGACAAAUAGCAGUCAUAAGCAAUUGACAUAACAUUUAUAAUGACAUAUUUAGCCAUCGCCAACACCUAGACCAACAAACAAUUCCAGAAGUGUGUGAUUUCCCUCUCCAAUCAAAAGAUUAACCCAAAUGCAUCUGUGUAUCAUCAUAUCCAAGAAUUAUAGCAUCAUUCUUCAUGUUAUCAGUGAUUAGUUCACAUCUUCAUUUACAAGUAUCAGUGUUCAAUCUUGUAAUGGCUACUAACAGUUUGAUGCUUCAUUUCAGGAUUUGUUUGUGUCCGGGGAUUUGAUCAAAAGGAACGCGCACCCCGUCCUCUUCAGGCCAGAUUGCAUUUUUCAGCAAGCAGGUUAGCAAAGACAGAAAAAUAAAAACAAGAUUAACGGGACAUGUUGAGAUAUUUACCAGCAAAAGCUAAUAUUGAAGAUCCAACUUUCUAAGGUCCAAGGUGAUUGCUGCCUGAGUGACAGGAGAUCUGACAUGAAACAAAUAUACAGCAUGUUACAAAGAAAGUAGAAGAAUUUUCUGUUUAGGAUAUGAAAUCCCAUAACAAGUGGGAUUGACCUGUAAAUCAUCUCUAUUCAAGCAUGAAACAGUCAUUCAUUUUAUUAAAAUCAACUGUAACAAUUUCAUUAUUAUCAAUAGAAGUUGUCACUGAAAAUGAACACAAAUUGCAGAAUUCAAUCACAAAAGUUUAUUACUGCAUUUCACAUAGAUUUUUUUAUCAUUUUUAUACAUUAUACAUCACACACACACAUACACAUGUAUGAUAGGAAAUAUAACAACCAGAAGAACAAUAAAUGUACCUUGUAUUUAAAUAACAAUUAAGCACUCGAGUUGAGAUAUUAAUUAUGAGAGGACAGUGAUCUAAGAAGCACAGACACCUCUGUUCACAGGCAUGUCCCCGUGUUGGGCACCAACACCCAUACAACAGGUGUCAAUUGUCAAACACUUGCAGUGUUGGAUUUCAAAAAAAAAAAAUAUUGCGGCUUAAACACAUUUAGACAUGGCUUCAGCUAAAAAAGGCAUGGCUAGGGCAUUAAGUUUCAAUUUUUAUUUUAAGAAAUUCAAAAAACAAAUUUCAAAUUUUUAGACAGAUACACAGUUGCACAAAAGACUUCUUGUGUAUGCCUUUUUUAUUUCCCCAGUUUCCCUCUUCAUCUCUGGUGUGAAAUUUGGUUCCUGACUUCAGCUCAAUUUCUCGUUCUUGACUUCCAUUGCUUUCCAAUGACUUGCUCUAUUUCUAUUUCACACUCUCUAUGUGACUUUGUGCUAUAGGUUUCGUUUGACUCCAGUAUGUUUCUAACCUUCCACUUGUUCCUUUGGUUUUUUCUUUCCCUGCUUUGUAUUUGGUGUUAUAAUAUAGAGACAACACCAUCAAUAUUAUAUUGUAUACGUGUUUUCUAUCUUGCUGUUUUUUAUUUUACAAUAUAGAGAUCAGUAGUUUCUUUGUCAUGGUGUGUGUUGUAUGCAUACCAUAUUAAUAUAAAGAAAUAUAUACAUGCGUAUAUAAAAAUCUAUGUCGUGGUGCCCUAUAUUUUGGAGAUUACCUGUGCGUGUACAUGUCCAUGGGUGUCCAGUGUUCAUAUCUGUAUCCAUGCUUCAUAGACUGUUAAGUGCGACCAAUACAAACUAAGGUCAUAAUCAUCUACAAAAUUCAAGUAUAAUUUUGAAGCACAGACAUUUAAUUAAUGAUAAAUUUGGGUCAUCUUAAUUAUGCACGAAUUCAAUUCAACAACCAAAGACUGUAUUACAAGUACAAAACCCAGUCCUUCAAACACUAAUGCUACCAGACUUUUAAAAAAAAAUAUAUAUUGAUGUUAGAUAAAUCUUUGAAUUAGCAUUCAACGCAACAGUCUUUUAUUUUUACAUGGAAAAACCAUCGGUUAGGUCCAUUCAAAGAUUCAAUACAGCAAAAGGAAACCUAACUUAACAUUUAGAGCAAGAGUAGCAACAUAGAAAUUGUAUUCAAGAUUAUAUUGCAGCUAUUACUACUGGCAUAUGCGAGCAAUGUUUUCUUUCCCACUCAUCCCUUCCCCUAACACACGCAUCUGACAGUGUGCAAGAACAAAUACAAUAAAAUUAAUGCAAACAAAACAGGGCAGAGGUGUUUUUCCAUAGAAAAUCAUUAUAGCUGUCAAAAUGAGUUACAAACCAUGAGCCAACACACCGCACAGGCAGAUUGAGUUGAAAAAAAUAAAUCGACUCGGGGCACUCCAAGUUAUGGCUUUCCUUUCUUGCAGCUACCAAUCAUCGAAGUGGCUUUCCAAUUAAGUAAAAGAAUACAGCAGCAAUAGCCGUCAUAAAGCGCAAUUACAACCUAAAACUUCGACGAUCUGCAAUCAAAACCCUUAAUCAAGGUAGGCACCAUUUUACUCGCUAAUAGAUAUAAUCUGACCAGAGAGA
rnacentral:lncRNA from 1 species